rnacentral:lncRNA from 1 species
AUGGAUAACCCUAAUCUAAAUAGUUUGUGCAUUAUUUUAGUUUUGGUAAAGGUAUGCCCUCAAUAUGUUUGAUAAAAUGCCUAAAAGAAUGUUUUCACUCUAUUAUUGAAUUUUCAUUGGAAGUCUUGCAUGGUAUGGCUUGGUAAUGGAAGCCUAAAUGGAUUUGGAUAGUUUUGCAUGGUUUGAAUAACAUAAGUGUUUUAAAUAUUUGGCUUGGUCUAAAAUGGUUUGGAAUGAUUUAAAGGGUAAGGUUUUAG